GCCACCGCCUCCAGUCGCACCAUUUCGAGUGCAGCGCCGCCCCUGCCUCCAGCGCCGCCACUGCCUCCUGACGCCGCGGUCGCUGCCUCCUCUCGCCUCUUCUGGCCGCCUCAUCUCCCCCUUUGAUCUCCGCCUCAAUUGUUGCCGGCAAUAGUAGGAACAGCCAAUGGCGCUCCAACCCGCCGCCGCCACAUGCCUCCUGCUUCGCCAAACCUCCUCAAGAAGUGCCGUGAAGGGCUCCCAUCCUCUGACGCCGGCGCUCCAGCAGAAGGUCUGAUCCUCGGGCUCGUGAUCUUCUUACGAUCUGGUCGGUUUGUCGGGCCUCGGAUCAUUGUCCCUGCUGGAAGCUGGGCAGUUCGACCUUGCCAACCGCUCUUACCCCAGCAUCGCGGGCAGCGGAAGCCGGGGAUGCAGACUCUGCACUGUCCACCGUGCCACUCCCAAGAGUCCAAGACGAAGCCCGUUCCCCACUGACAUGCACGUCUUUCCCUCAGGUUCCGGCUGCGCGAGGGGCGGCGACGGCGGCAAUGGCUGCGUCAGCCAGAGCUCUCAAGGUCGGACCGCCAAGGCAGGCCUGACGCUGAGAAGCAUUUCCGGACGUGCUUUUGGUGUUUCUAACUGAGAAUGAUAAAAGCACCAAAAGCUGAAGCGGAUUCCCAGACAAACAGGGCUUAAUAUGGUUUUUUCGCGGGCUCGCGAUUUCUGCUGUCCACAAUUUAAAAAAGGAAAACUGGUUGCAGUUGGCAAUGGAGGAACAGUUGGUGAUGUCGUUCUUGACUGCUCUGGGAGAGAAGAUGGAGCCUUCUCCUUGAGGAAGAGAAUUCUGCAGAAUUCAUGCUUCCUGCGUCCUUAUUUUAAGCUUGUUUAUUACUUUGUGAUUUGCAGAAAGCUGGCCGAGGAGGCCAUGGACUUCCUAAGAAUCAGAUAGGAACAAGGGGUUCUGACAAGGUUGCACAAGUACCAGAUGGCACAGUGAUUCAUCUAGGCAGCACUGGAUUGCACAGGCACUUAGCGGAAUAUAAGAGAGACCACCUGGGAAUUGAAGAGAAGGUGUUGAAAUCCUUGUGGCAACUCCUGGCCGCUUGAUGGAUCUGCUUCAGGGCUAGACUAUCAGUGCAAAUGGUGAAUUACUUGGCUCCUGAUCAAGCUAAUCGAAUGCUCGAUACUGGGUUUGAACCAUCGAUAGCUAAAGCUGUUGAGCCGAUGGAUAUGCCCUCUUGUGGUGUGAGAUGGAUGGUGUUGUUUACGACGGACAUGCAACAAUCAGAUUUAGAUUAAAGAAUUCUAAAAACAUAUGCAUAUGUAGUUCAUUCAUGGUUUGACUAACUCGCUCGUGUAUAACUCACAUGAUAGGACACAAGAAGUUUUUCUUUUCAAAGCUAAGACUCCAUAACCAAUAUAAUCAUUUGCAUGUUUCCUUCUC